UACAGAGGUCCCAAGCGUUGUUCGGAUUCACUGGGCGUAAAGGGUGCGUAGGCGGUGAGGUAAGUUUGACGUGAAAUCUCCGGGCUCAACCCGGAAACUGCGUUGAAUACUAUCUCGCUAGAGGAAUGGAGGGGAGACUGGAAUACUUGGUGUAGCAGUGAAAUGCGUAGAUAUCGAGUGGAACACCAGUGGCGAAGGCGAGUCUCUGGACAUUUCCUGACGCUGAGGCACGAAAGCCAGGGGAGCAAACGGG
rnacentral:rRNA from 1 species